GACAGAGGGUGCAAACGUUGUUCGGAAUUACUGGGCGUAAAGCGUGUGUAGGCGGCCAUAUAAGUCGGAUGUGAAAGCCCUGGGCUCAACCCAGGAAGUGCACUCGAUACUGUAUGGCUUGAGUACUGGAGAGGUUGGUGGAAUUCUCGGUGUAGAGGUGAAAUUCGUAGAUAUCGAGAGGAACACCGGUGGCGAAGGCGGCUCUCUGGGACGGUACUGACGCUGAGACGCGAAAGCGUGGGGAGCGAACAGG
rnacentral:rRNA from 1 species